AUUGAACGCUGGCGGCAUGCUUUACACAUGCAAGUCGAACGGUAACAGGCCGCAAGGUGCUGACGAGUGGCGAACGGGUGAGUAAUGCAUCGGAACGUGCCCAGUCGUGGGGGAUAACGCAGCGAAAGCUGCGCUAAUACCGCAUACGAUCUAUGGAUGAAAGCGGGGGACCGUAAGGCCUCGCUCGAUUUGAGCGGCCGAUGUCAGAUUAGGUAGUUGGUGGGGUAAAGGCUCACCAAGCCAACGAUCUGUAGAUGGUCUGCGAGGACGACCAGCCAAACUGGGACGGGGCGACGGCCCAGCCUCCUACGGGAGGCAGCAUUGGGGAAUUUUGGACAAUGGGCGCAAGCCUAAUCCAGCAAUGCCGCGUGCAGGAAGAAGGCCUUCGGGUUGUAAACUGCUUUUGUACGGAACGAAAAAGCCUUGGCUAAUACCCAGGGUCCAUGACGGUACCGUAAGAAUAAGCACCGGCUAACUACGUGCCAGCAGCCGCGGUAA
rnacentral:rRNA from 1 species